rnacentral:rRNA from 1 species
AAACUCAAAUGAAUUGACGGGGCCGCACAAGCGGAGGAACAUGUGGUUUAAUUCGAUGAUACGCGAGGAACCUUACCUGGGCUUAAAUGGGAGUGACAGCUGUCGAAAGAUGGUUUUCUUCGGACACUCUUCAAGGUGCUGCAUGGUUGUCGUCAGCUCGUGCCGUGAGGUGUCGGGUUAAGUCCCAUAACGAGCGCAACCCUUACCGUUAGUUACCAUCAGGUUAAGCUGGGGACUCUAGCGGGACUGCCACCGUAAGGUGAGAGGAAGUGGGGAUGACGUCGAAUCAGCACGGCCCUUAUGUCCAGGGCUACACACGUGUUACAAUGGCCAGUACAAAGGGCAGCUACCGGGUGACCGGAUGCUAAUCUCUAAAGCUGGUCUCAGUUCGGAUCGAAGUCUGCAACCCGACUUCGUGAAGCUGGAUUCGCUAGUAAUCGCGCAUCAGCCAUGGCGCGGUGAAUACGUUCCCGGGCCUU